rnacentral:rRNA from 1 species
GACUUAGGGCGCGAGCGUUGUCCGGAUUUAUUGGGCGUAAAGAGCUCGUAGGCGGCUUGUCGCGUCGUCCGUGAAAACCCACAGCUCAACUGUGGGCUUGCGGUCGAUACGGGCAGGCUAGAGUUCGGUAGGGGAGACUGGAAUUCCUGGUGUAGCGGUGAAAUGCGCAGAUAUCAGGAGGAACACCGGUGGCGAAGGCGGGUCUCUGGGCCGAUACUGACGCUGAGGAGCGAAAGCGUGGGGAGCGAACAGG